rnacentral:lncRNA from 1 species
AUGGGGAACUGCCUGCGCCCCAGCGCUGGCCUCAGUUGUACCUUCUGCGAGGCUUGUAGCCAGUCUGAGGAAUCCACCAUUCCAGAGCCUGCUGUGUUACAUCCCAGAGUGGCGGAGGUGCAGGACGUGCAGCCCGUAAAACCAAAGAGGCGCAAAGGUUUGGCUCGCCGUGUCAGGAGCUGGGUAGCCAAAAAAUGGAGACAAAAGAAAAGGUGCCCCAAUAAAAAUGAAGGUCCCGUUGAGGUCCUCCAGGACUGCGUCCAUGAAGACAUCAAGGACGAGGAGCUCCUGGCGGAGGCGUCAUGUGAGGAUCACCACCGUCCUGUUGAGGUCCUCCAGGACUGCGUCCAUGAAGACAUCGAGGACGAGGAGCCCCUGGCGGAUGCUGCACGUGAGGAUCACCACCGUCCUGUUGAGGUCCUCCAGGACUGCGUCCUUGAAGACAUCGAGGAUGAGGAGCCCCUGGAGUGGUCUGUGGGCUACUAUUACCAUUGUCCUAUUGUGGCCCUCCAGGAGUGCGUCCAUGAAGACAUUAAGGACGAGGAGCCCGUGGCGGAUGCGUCACGUGAGGAUCACCACCGUCCUGUUGAGGUCCUCCAGGACUGCGUCCUUGAAGACAUCGAGGACGAGGAGCCCCUGGAGUGGUCUGUGGGCUACUAUUACCAUUGUCCUGUUGAGGUCCCCCAGGACUGCAACCUUGAUGACACCGAGGACGAGGAGCUUCUGGUGAGAUGCAUUUGUUCAUCUUGA